GUUUUCUGUUUUCUGUUUGAUUAAAUCGAUAAUUAAGAUCCAUUCUAUUACAUCUAGUGAGCUGUUUAUUUGGCAAUUGCAAAUGGCAGUCAGCUGGGUUUAAGAACAUGCGUUGUUCAACCUGCUAGUCAAAUGCAUUUUGUUAAAAUAUACUUUUUCACUUUUUUGGUCUUUUGGAAAAUGUUGUUUGUGCUGUAUUUAGACCCCUC
rnacentral:lncRNA from 1 species